GAUACGGAGGGUAACUGAAAUUAUUCAUUGAAAUAUGCAUAUAUGUGCGCAUGGAGAAAUGCAGGAAAAGCCGAGUUCAUCAGGCUUAAAAUGUCGACAUUUCAAGUGUCUGCAGAGGAAAUCGAGGAAAAAGAGGGACAUCUGGCUCUCCGUUGCCCGCGACGGAACGGCGUCUCGGUUUCCUCUUCGUCUUCACCAGAUGAUGACGAUAACGUGGACGAAAUAUAUGUCCUUCGCUCGGGAGAAAAGUUCGUUUUCCUGCCCCCCCAGACUACCUCUCUGAUAUCAGCAGAAGAUGAAAAGGACGACAGCAUCGAGUUGGUUCCACGAGUAGCCCAUCCGCGUUUCUCUUUCCUCCCCUUUGCCUCUGCUGGAGCUUGAGACAUAGAGGAUGAUGUUAGUCCUACUAGUGGUUGUACGUCAUCCUGGUUUCUGUGAUCUGUCUCUGUUUCUGAAGACGUAGACGACGGAAAAGGACGAUAUGAGUUGCGAAUGGGCGAAAUACCUGUUUCGCAACUAGUCUGCCUUCGUUCCUGUCUCAAGAUUGCUGAACAGUUCGCUGGCGAAUGUUCCCGUCUCACGAGUCUUUGAAAUCUUCCCGCCGUCCGUCCAGAAAAAUUUUUCCUGUUAAUAGUUGCUGUGCCUUCCUGUUUCGUCUUCAAAUGCUCAAUUUCCAUCUCUCUCCUCAUGUCACUCCCCAUUCUUGUCACUUCUUCCCUCUGGCCAACUUUCACCGCGCCCAGUCGCUUUCGUUCGCCGUGAGAUGCCCCCGAGGAAGCGAAACGGAAAGGGGCUCUCUCUCUUCGUUGAUCUUUUCCUAUGUAGUGUUCGCCGUUUUCUUCAACGGCCCUUCUUGGCAGGGAAUCCGACGAGCAAGGAGAGGAAGCGGGCCUUGUGCCGUCCUUUUCCCUUCCGCCUUUGCGGCCAUCCCUGUCUGUCUUCCCUGUGCUUUGCCUCAAGCGCUUUCCGCUAUUUCUGCCUGCUCGGAUGCAUCUUUCGCAGCACGUCGGAUCGGCCAUGUUUCGCAACAAAGCAUGCACCACAGACGCAGGCAGGCGCCACCGCCACAGCGAGUCUCUAUACACCGCAGACAGGAGUACUCGCUUCAUGAUUUUCGUCGCCUGUGCAACUCGCGCGGCGACUCGAGGCCCGAGAAUGGCGUUUAAAAGGUGCAUGUGCUUGUCCGCCAAUUGGUAAGCCAGAAGGAGGAAGCGAACAACGCAAGCCGCUUGGACGACGGGCGCAAUGGAGAGAAACGCGGCGUCUGGUGACGAUAGACAAAGCUGCAGCAGAUACACGGGUAGACUGGCGGAGGGCGGACAGGGAGGCAGAAGCAAAAGGGAAGCAGGCGGUCCAUCAGCGAACGUGCCAACUGACAGAGGGGAAGAAGGACGACAAGGACAGGACGAAACGGAAGCAGAAAGCGACGAACAUCGCAGCAGGACUCCUCCGGAAGCCAAGCAGCACCGUAGCGUCUCCGGUACAGCUUGCAAGCACCCAAGAGCCACUGAAGGAAAAGAAAGGAAUUCGCGUGGGUCAGCAGGUUGUCCUGUUCUAUGCAGCUCCACGCGUACAGUUCCAGCCAGCCUGUCGGCGGCCAGGGGCGGUAGGAGACGGAGGCGCCAGGGGGCUGCGCAGGUUUCUCCAAGCGAGGCAACGUCCCUGUUUGGCAUUUCUCUAAAAGGCGUCUCCCCUCGGAAGUAGGGAGACCUUUCCUCGUCUCGUGUGCUCCAUGCUGAGGCUUCUCUGCAGCGCAGCCGUCAGAGUCGCUCCUCUUUUCAGGAACAUUGGUCCCGUUGGAGGGGAGUGAAUGAGAGGCAGAGGAAAGAGAGGACCGAGGAGACCCCACCGACGACGAGGACGAAAAGCGAGAGAGGGAACAAGGAGAGGACGACGGAGUGCUGUCUUCCUCGGAGAAGAAACUCUCUGUCUGGUACUGGCAGCAUGCACAGCAACCGGCCGACAGAUCUACAGGGUGUGCAAGUAUUGAACGCCGAAAACAGCCGCGCAUAUCGUUUUUUUGAGUGUGAGAGACAGAGGCGAAACUGGGGGUGUCGCAUUCUUCGUAAAAAGCUUCGCUGACGGGAUGGUGCAUGUGAAAAGACAAACAGGAAUCGUUUCUUGCGAGUCUCUCUGAAAUGCGAUGGGCUUUUUUAUCAUCCGCGUUCGUUUCCUGACAUCGUGACAGCAUGGCCAAGUCAUCUUCUGGUGAUUCGUGUAAAUCCCGAAGUCGAUAACCAUCGCCUUGUCCUUGCGUUACUCGUGUGAACGCCUCAUAUCCCUCCUCUCCUUUUGGGAAGUAAAGGGACAUGUCUGCGGCGUUUUCUCGUUCUUUCCUUGCUUCGAUCUCCUCGGUUUCCGUAAACACGAUGGCUUGAACCACGACACCUGCGCAGUCCAGAUGGGGUACGAUCUCGAGUUGUUUGUAGGCAAUCGCAAUGCAAACACACGCUAGACGAAUGAGAGGAGACAAGGGAUACGGAAAUUGCAUGUCAUGCUCUGUUUUCAUUCUUUCACUCGCCUUCAACACACAUCCACUUGACCGCAAAGCCGUGGAACCACUGUCAGUUCUUGUUUCUCGAGAACUCGGCGUUUUCUGACUGCUGGCUGGCAGCCUGGGAGAGUCACCGUUCUCGGAGUUUUCCUGUUCAGCUGGAGAGACACCCCAGAGAAGCCGUAGAACCAUCCUUUCCUUGUCCCUUGAAGACGUUAACGACGAAGCGAAACAACUGGAAUGAGAACUGCUGCCAGACGUAUCAUCGACAGAG
rnacentral:lncRNA from 1 species